UACAGAGGGUGCAAGCGUUAAUCGGAAUUACUGGGCGUAAAGGGUGCGUAGGUGGUUGGAUAAGUUAGGUGUGAAAGUCCUGGGCUCAACCUGGGGAUUGCGCCUAAUACUGUUUGACUAGAGUACUGUAGAGGAAGAUAGAAUUUCCAGUGUAGCGGUGAAAUGCGUAGAUAUUGGAAGGAAUACCUGUGGCGAAGGCGAUCUUCUGGACAGAUACUGACACUGAGGCACGAAAGCGUGGGGAGCAAACAGG
rnacentral:rRNA from 1 species